AAACGGAUCCAGGACCCAAAUGCUGCCCUCCAUAUGCUCUCUCCAACUGGGUUGCCCUUCUCUGCUAUGGCAAGUGCGUUCUCAACGUGCGCUGGGAAAUGGCUGCCAGCAACCCAGAUCAGGUCCUUCCAGGACAGUGGCCCCAACAGGUAAGAGAAUCUUCCUUGCAACUCCACCUGCCCAGGAAGUGAUGGGUCCCAUCCUGCGGUAGGAGGGGUCACUCUGAUUGGCUGGGCCUGGGUCAUGUGCCCACCUGUGGCUAGGGGAGUGAGGUGCUGUGAAUGGCAGGCCCUACCAGAAUGACACGAUUGAAGAAGUUCGGCUCAAAGAAAUGGGGUGCUUCCAGGAAAAUACAACUCCUUUCCACUUCAGUCCAACAUUAAUAAGCAAAUAAGCAGAUGAAGGCGUGUCUGUGUGAGAGGGAAUUCUGUCUCUAGUCCCUGCCUAAGGUCACUGACAGGCGCCCUCGCGCCCUCUGAGCACAGAAGUGCUGCUGGUAAACCGGGCUGCUAAUUCCCCAUGACAUUUGACCUUUCAACUCCAACCAGCUGAGUGGCAGCUGAAUAUAAAGCCACAGCUGGAUGUUGACAGUUCUUGGCCUCAAACAGAGAGAGGGAGGAAGGUGCAGAUGCCACCCAUCUCCUGUGGGCAGAAGGGGCAAGCAACCUGAUUUGCUUGAUGAUGUGUCCCAGUUCUAACCGAGGAGACACGGGGUAUAAGCUCCUUUAUGAUUUCCCCGCCAAAAACAAGGGGCCCCCUUCCAGGAGCACAACUCUUUAUCGGUGACCUUGUGCACUUGUGUCUGUUCACAGGAACCUUAGCGUGGCCAGGAGUCCAGGAAAAUACGGUGGGGGUCCUCGAGGACCACCCCAAGAAGCUUCAGACUUGGUUCUGCUGUGAUGUCAGGAAGCCGAUGGACGCCUGCGGCUGCUUGUUGCUGUUGUCACUGCAGGGGCCGGGGCGCUAGAAGAGAGGAAGUUUGUGCCCCAGAGAGGAGCCAAAUGAGCACCCCGAACAGAGAGACGGCAGGGGCAGACUUCCAGAGUCAGGAUGGACCUCACGAUGCUGGAGUCCAGAGGGAGGCAGAAGAGAGGGACAGAGACUUCUGAAGUCUCCCUCGAGCUCGCCUCCUCUCCGGAGGGACCUUUGCUUCCAGAAUGGAGCCGUUCGGUCUAUUUUUGCAGUAGAGCUGGCUGCCCCAUGCCAAGGUUUCUUACCACAAAUAGAACUUCUGGAAGGGCCCACUGGUUUCCUCCGCGCUUCCAGACACCUCUUCACAUUUCAUCUGGCUUCCCUUCUCCAGCCCCAAAAGGGAAUAUUCCGAGUCUCCUCUGUGUUGCUGUGAUGAGGGCACCUCCAGAGGCCCUCCAGGGGGACUCCCUCGGGGCGGCCGUGAGCCUGGCCUGGCGCUUGGGCUCUGGCCUCUGGCCCACCCCGCCACCACUCCCUACAAGCUGAGCUGCGAAGCCCCAGGGGGCCGAGUCCCAGAGUGAAUCCCAAACGGAAGGCUCACCCCUGAGUGAGAUGGUGAAACAGACGAACCACACUCAGCGUCCUCGUCCCCUCAGCUCUCUGGCCCCUCACCUGUCAUUUAACGUGGGCUUUGAGAACUCAUCACUCCGAGUGUCAUGGCCAAGGGAUAUAAAACUGAGACACUUCCCUAAACGGGAUGCCUGGAAUCUGGACACGCUAGAAACAUCCCUGCGAGCUGAAUUAAAAGAGGUGAGGGGAAAUAAAAGCUCACCUCACCAACCUGCUAGGAAUUGUCAACCAGGCAAGAGCUAAGUGGGCCCAAGACCAGCUUUGGUUUGUCAGGGUCUGAGGUUAGACCAUGCAGGGGAAAGCUACUUUCUCGAGAUGCUUGAGACAGAGCUUCGGAAGAUUCCAGAACAGCAGCAACAAACCCAAUCAUUUGAAAGGCUCCCAUGUUAUGUAAGCAUCUCACCUCCUCUCAGGCGGUGUGGCUGGUAAGAGCUCAGUCUGGCAGACGGACUGGGUUCCUAUUUCAGUUCUGCCGCUUGCUGGCUGUGUGACCUUAGGGUGUUUCUAAACUGCUCUAAGCUUUUCCUUUCUUCUUGGGAAGCAACAAAGGGGAGAAUGACAACGCGCCUGGCAGAGAAUAAACCUGCAAGGAUGAAUAACAAGAGUCUACGAGAGCUGGACCCUUAACAUGAGCGAGAGUGACACCCUCCUCACGGUCCCAACCAUCCAAGCUAAAGGCUCGAGCUAAGAGGUGCCGACUCCAUGUGAACUCGAGGUGCAAGUGACCCUGCCCUCGGAGCUGCUC
rnacentral:lncRNA from 1 species